rnacentral:misc_RNA from 1 species
CAACCCUCAGACCCCUCCGGGCGGCCUGGUGUUGGGGAUCGGCAGGGGCGUCCUUCGGGGCGCCGCCGUCCCCCAAAUCUAGUGGCGGUCUCGCUGUAGCCAACUCUGCGUAGUAGUAACAUCUCGCACUGGAAGCUCGGCGCGGCCACGCCGUUAAACCCCCAACUUUUUUCU